UGGGGUCUCUUUUGGGGUCCCUAUGGGGUCACAUUGGGGUCACUUUUAGGGUCCCUUUUGGGGUCACUUUUGGGUUCUCUUUGGGGUCACUUUUUCGAGUCCCUUUUUGGGUCCCUUUUGGGGUCCCUUUUGAGGUCGCUUUUGGGUCUCAUUGGGGUCACUUUGGGGUCUCUUUGGGGUCCCUUUUGGGGUCAAUUUUAGGGUCCCUUUGGGGUCUCUCUUGGGGUCUCUUUUGGGGUCACUUUUAGGGUCCCGUUUGGCGUCCCGUUUGGGGUCACUGUUGGGGUCCCAUUUGGGGUCACUUUUCGGGUCACUUUUGGGGUCUCAUUGGGGUCACUUAGAGGUCCCUUUUCAGGUCACUUUUAGGGUCACAUUGGGGUCUCUUUUAGGGUCCCUUUUGGGGUCGCUUUUGGGGUAUUUUGGGGUCCCUUUUGGGGUCACCUUUGGGGUCUCUUUUGGGGUCUCAUGGGGGCCACUUUGGGGUCACGUUGAGGUCACUUUUGGGGUCACACUGGGGUCCAUUUUGGGGUCACUUUAGGGGUCACUUUUAGGGUCCGUUUUGGGGUCCCUCUUGGGGUCUCUUUGGGGUCCCUAUGGGGUCACAUUGGGGUCUCUUUUAGGGUCACUUUUAGGGUCCCUUCUGGGGUCUCUUUGGGGUCACUUUUGGGGUCUCUUUUGGGGUCCCUAUGGGGUCACUUUUGGUGUCCCUUUUGGGGUCCCUUUUAGGGUCCCUUUUGGGGUCUCUUUGGGGUCCCUUUUAGGGUCCCUUUUAGGAUCCCUUUUGGGGUCACUUUUGGAGUCCCUUUUGGGGUUGCUUUUGGGGUCUCAUUGGGGUCACUUUGGGGUCACUUUGGGGUCCCUUUUGGGGUCACUCACACUUUCCUGCAGUGGGGACAUCGUGCCAAGGUGCGAUCCGUGAAUUCCGUCCACUGUGGGGGAAAUUUUAGGGUCAUUUGGGGGAGGAUUUGGGGGUCAUGGGGUCAAUUUGGGAUCAUUCGGGGUCAUUCCGGGUCACAUUGGGGUCAUUUGGGGUCAUUGGGGACAUUUGGGGUCAUUUGGGGCCAUUUAGGGUCACAUUGGGGCCAUUUGGGGCCAUUUGGGGUCACAUUAGGGCCAUUUGGGGUCACUGGGGCCAUUUGGGGCCACAUGGGGUCAUUUAGGGCUAUUUGGGGUCAUUUGAGGUCACAUUGGAAUCAUUGGGGCCAUUUGGGGUCAUUGGGGCCAUUUGGGGUCAUUUGAGCCCUUUGGGGUCAUUUGGGGCCAUUUGGGGUCAUUGGGGUCAUUUGGGGUCACACUGG
rnacentral:lncRNA from 1 species